GGGGGUAUAGCUCAGCUGGGAGAGCAGCAGACUGAAGUUACAAAAUUAAUCCAGACCAUGGUAAAUACUUCUGAAGGUCCCGCGUUCGAUCCGCCGUACCCCCA